ACUCCUACGGGAGGCAGCAGUGAGGAAUAUUGGGCAAUGGAGGCAACUCUGACCCAGCCAUGCCGCGUGCAGGAAGACGGCCCUAUGGGUUGUAAACUACUUUUAUACAGGAAGAAACGUACCCUCGUGAGGGUGCCUGACGGUACUGUAGGAAUAAGCACCGGCUAACUCCGUGCCAGCAGCCGCGGUAAUACGGAGGGUGCGAGCGUUAUCCGGAUUUAUUGGGUUUAAAGGGUCCGUAGGCGGAUUAAUAAGUCAGUGGUGAAAUCCCAUCGCUUAACGAUGGAACUGCCAUUGAUACUGUUAGUCUUGAAUGAGGGUGCAGUGGUUGGAAUGUGUAGUGUAGCGGUGAAAUGCAUAGAUAUUACACAGAACACCGAUUGCGAAGGCAGAUCACUAACCCUAAAUUGACGCUGAGGGACGAAAGCGUGGGGAGCGAACAGGAUUAGAUACCCUGGUAGGAUAGCGU
rnacentral:rRNA from 1 species